GGCCGAUCGCCGCCGCAGACCUGGAGGAGAGGGGAAAGAUGAGGCGUGAAGCUGCAGCUGAUGUAUUCCAACAGGCCUCUGCACGUGAUUUUGCUGCCGUUGAUCUCCUUCACGUCGAUGUUACGGGGACUCAGGAGCCACGGCACCAGAACCUGCAGGUUGUUGAUGAACUCGCCAUCGAUUUCUAGAUGGGGAGGAGAGGCAGCAACUGAAAGACCUCGCUCCAGAUCUGGAUGCCGGUGGUUUCCCUUUCUGAACCUCCACGCCAGGAGAAGCCGGUCAGAGGCUCGUCGGCAUCUCCGAGCCAAUCGUCGGACGCCUGAACACGAUCAGAUCAGGGGGAUACUCACGUGGUUGUACAUGUAUCGCAGCAUAAAGUCCAUGAGGAAGGACUUGCCCUUAC